rnacentral:lncRNA from 1 species
GGGUAGUGAGAUCACAGAGCUGGGGGCGGGGCUGAGAUGGGGUAGUGAGAUCACAGAGCUGGGGGCGGGGCUGAGAUGGGGUGGAGAGAUCACAGAGCUGCCCUCCACCCCUGCUCUGUUUCUUUGCCAGCAUCACCCUUGAUUUACCGGUGUCUUCGCCUAUGUGAUUACAGCAGGACUAACUGAGCAAUGUUUUCUGGCUUUUCAACAGCUCUUAGGUUAACUUGCAUCUUCCACGAGAUCUGGCAACAUUGCCAGAGUCAUUAUUAACCCCAUCUUACAAAUAUUCUGAAGCUCAGAUAAGCCAAGGGUCACAUGCCGGGAGACAGAGACAUGGACAAGCAGUCGGGAGUUGAAGCCACCUCGUCUGCCUGACUUUAGGAUCCUGUCUAUAAUGGCACAGCUGCAUCGAUCUCUUGGGAAUCAUUUGAUGCAUCCCUCAAGAACAAGGGAACGUUACUGUCAGAAAAUGUCGACUGUGUUUAAUGCUGCUCAGAAGAGGAAGGGGGAUGUGUGGGGGUGCGACGUAAAUCGGGGUGAAGGAAUGUUUACCUAGGGUGAUCGGGACAUCUCACCAGGAAGGGGAGAGUUGGGAAGCACUAAGCCAUGUUCCUGGCCUGCAGCCUGUGACCAGAGGAGAUGCCGUAGGCCCCUGAGUGAAAACACUCCUAACUGCAAAUGCUCAAGGCGCAUGUGUUGCUGGUGGCCUCCGGAGCUUAGGUGUUCCAGUAAUGAGCCAUUACAGGGCAUGUAGACUGCUGCCCGUCUGGACUGUACCUCGCCUUCUUUUUAUCACCCACACAGAGACCCAGAACCCACAGAAUCUUUCCACUUCUUUUAUCUUGCCCUUUUUCUUCGAUUUUCAGUGGAGACCCUUUGACAAGGGUUGCAGGGACAGGAAGGCAUUGUGCAAAACCAGAAGGCAUUUAAAAUAUUUUUUGUUUCCAAAAAAGCCAACCAAAUAGAA